CAAACCAAAGCUGGCGACCGGCGCACGGGUGAGUAACACGUAUCCAACCUGCCUCAUACUCGGGGAUAGCCUUUCGAAAGAAAGAUUAAUAUCCGAUAGCAUAUAUUUCCCGCAUGGGUUUUAUAUUAAAGAAAUUCGGUAUGAGAUGGGGGUGCGUUCCAUUAGUUUGUUGGGGGGGUAACGGCCCACCAAGACUACGAUGGAUAGGGGUUCUGAGAGGAAGGUCCCCCACAUUGGAACUGAGACACGGUCCAA
rnacentral:rRNA from 1 species